UAUUAUUCUCAGAUAAAUUAAUUCCUGGGUUAGUAGUAGAUAUCUACUUAAAAGUUAAAAGAUUUGGCGGUAAUUUAAUCUUUCCAGAGGAACUUGUUUUUUAAUCGAUAAUCCGCGAAAUAUCUUGCUUAUUUAUAUAGAGUUUGUAUACCAUCAUUAUCAGGUAAUUUUAGAAAAAUAAAUUACUAAAAAUAAAAGAUUAAAAAAAUUAGAUCAUGGUGCAGCUGAUGAGUAAGUCAAAAUGAGUUACAAUAAAACUUUUUAUACGGAGAAAUAAAAGAAUUUUUAUUUAGAAGGAGGAUUUGGUUGUAUUUGGGGGUUAAUACGCCUUAAAGAUGAUAGCUCUAAAUUAUGUACAUAU
rnacentral:rRNA from 1 species